GGAGACGUCGCCUAGUGGCUAUGGCAGAGGUUUGCUAAACCUCGACCCAACCGGGUCCCGUGGGUUCGAAUCCCACCGUCUCCG
rnacentral:tRNA from 1 species